CGAGUGAACGCGCAAGAAGAGAGAGGCAAGAGCGAAAUCAAAGCAGCGUGGAGGAAAGAGAGGCAGAGAAAUCGAGAAGGAACGGGAAAGCCAGACCGAAUUUGGCUCCACCAAUGGGAUCAGUGGCUGCUCAGCGUCAGGCUCAGACCAGCAAAGCCCUGAGACUGCAGUCAAAACGGAUGAUCAGCAGGAGGCUUGUCUACAACCAAGGACUGGUGCGGGUUGGAAGUCCCCAAAAGAACACUCAAGGGAAUUUGAUCGAAGCAACAGUGACCCAAAGGCAAUACCAUGAUGAAGAAGCAAAGGUUCUGCAGUCUGAUGGACAGAGGAGCAAUUUCAGGUCUACAGUUUUCUAGCUAUGUGACCUCGGCUGGUGACUAUCUCAUUUGUGAAGUGGGAUGAUAUCGUGGAGUGAGAUCAUUAUGUAAAUCACUUAGCUCUGGGCUUGUCAGCCAAGAAAUGUCAGCCAAGCAGUGAGAGUUGUUAUCUUUCUUAUGGUGGCAGUCUCUGCCCUGCAAAGAGCCUGCAGACUUCUAGGCGUAGGAGGGGCAUUUGGAGGAUACACUGAAGAGAAUAAGGAGCCUCUGGUUGGCUCCUCUGUACCUACUGAUACAACCAGGGACCAAAAAUAUGUUUUAGGGGCUGGGGAAAUGACUCAGGAGUUAAGAGCACUUGCAAAGGGGUUGGGGAUUUAGCUCAGUGGUAGAGUGCUUGCCUAGCAAGUGCAAGGCCCUGAGUUCGGUCCCCAGCUCUGAAAAAAAGAAAAAAGAAAAAGAAGAAGAAGAAGAAGAAGAAGAAGAAGAAGAAGAAGAAGAAGAAGAAGAAGAAGAAGAAGAAGAAGAAGAAAGAGCACUUGCAAAGAACCCAAGUUCAAGUCACAGCUUACAACCAUCUUUACCUCCAGUUCAGGGGAUCCCAUUGCCCGCUUCUGGUGCCUGCUGACACUGUACACAUCUGGUGCUGUUAUAUAACGGUUUCCUCCAAGAUUGAAAUGUUCAGUCCUACAGGGAAGCUCCUUAAGCAGGAAGGUAAACAAGCCAAAAUUCAUUCAGGAAGUUCCUGAAACUGACCAGAAUCAUUGGACCCCUCUUUACCAGAGUAAGCAAUAAUAGUCUGAGAGUCCCUCUCAGAGGUGCCAGGCUGAGCUGCAAAGAAGACUCUGACAAAUGGAGAAGGCUCUGAAUCCAAACCAGCUCUCUGGGAAAAAACAAAACCCAGCUGAACAGCUGGGAAGAGGUUUAGAUUAGCAGAGGAACCAGGAAAAGAUACCUGCUAACCUGCUGGACUGUGCAGUGUGCUCCAGCUUCCUGACUUUGUGAACUGUCACCCAUGCUGGAUGGGCUUUCUGUUGGGAGUGGGCUUUAGUGAUGCAUCAGUUUUUGAGUCAUUUCUGCUCCAGUAAGUAACCCCUCACUCCUAGUCCUGUAAGUAAUCCUAGUAAAACUCAUUGCUUUGCCAAGUUGGACUUUGGUGUUAUCCAUACCUUGGUCUGUCAUGGGCUCCCUAACUUGGGUAAGAAGAUGUGUAUGUUCUCUCUCUCCAGGAAAAGUUUUGUCACACAACUUGUUUAUCAACAUAUAUGCAGGCAAAAGACCCCAUGCACGUACUCACACACAUGCAAUAAAAUAAAAUUUAAAAC